rnacentral:misc_RNA from 1 species
GAAAUGCGAUAAGUAGUGUGAAUUGCAGACUUUAGUGAAUCAUCGAAUCUUUGAACGCACAUUGCGCCCCUUGGUAUUCCAUUGGGCAUGCCUGUUCGAGCGUCAUUUACACCCUCAAGCUUCGCUUGGUGUUGGGCGUCUGUCCGCGCUUUCUGCGUGGACUCGCCCCAAAUCCAUUGGCAGCGGCAUCGCCAGCUUCUCGCGCAGCACAUUGCGCCUGGGAAGGCUUCUGGCGGGUCUGCAUCCAUCAAGAACCCCCUCAGUUUGACCUCGAAUCAGGUAGGGAUACCCGCUGAACUUAA